rnacentral:rRNA from 1 species
CCUACGGGAGGCAGCAGUGGGGAAUAUUGCGCAAUGGGCGAAAGCCUGACGCAGCGACGCCGCGUGAGGGAUGAAGGUCUUCGGAUCGUAAACCUCUGUCAGCAGGGAAGAACGGUCACUGUGCUAAUCAGCAGUGAAUUGACGGUACCUGCAAAGGAAGCACCGGCUAACUCCGUGCCAGCAGCCGCGGUAAUACGGAGGGUGCGAGCGUUAAUCGGAAUUACUGGGCGUAAAGCGCUCGUAGGCGGUAUGUCAAGUCAAGGGUGAAAGCCCCGCGCUCAACGGUGGAACUGCCUUUGAUACUGGCAAACUGGAGUGUGUGAGAGGUUAGUGGAAUUCGAGGUGUAGGAGUGAAAUCCGUAGAUAUCUGGAGGAACAUCAGUGGCGAAGGCGACUAUCUGGCACAUAACUGACGCUGAGGAGCGAAAGCGUGGGUAGCAAACAGGAUUAGAUACCCUUGUAGUC